UUCUCUCUGCUCCCAGACCCCUCAAGUCUACCUGGUCACAGACUUCCUUUCUCAGAGAUUCACAUCGGGGUCUAAUGCUAUCCAUUUCCUCUCCCACAAAUUGCAGAAUUAUUAUUUCCUCUGCAGGAAGAAAACUUCUCUCCAGGUUUGACAUACUUUCUUCAAAAUCUUUUCUCUGGGACAUAACCUUUGUGUUCUUAGGAGACUCCGUUUUAAAUUUAUAAACGCUUUCCCUCCAAUUCUUCCCUCUGCCAUAGGUUCCAGAAGUGUCUCUUGAAAUUCAGAAGCCAAGUGUCGACUUCUUUCUUUCCCUCUGCAUCCCUCCCAUCGUAUCCUGCCCUGCAGGCAGUGAAUACAAAUCCCCCCUCUGUUGCCUAAAUGGUGAAGAAAGUUCAAAAAUUUGAAAACAUCAAAACUGCUGGGGGGCAGGGGGCAAACUGGAUGUCAUUCAGUCACAGAAAGAUCAGCAAUCCCUUAGUGGUGGUACUUGGGAAGUGUCAAUUGGAAAAAGCUAACUCCUGCUGGAGGGUUCUUAGGUGGAGGCAAGUUCUAGAUGUUGGGAGUUGGCCUGAAAGGGAACGUUGACUGCAUGGUAAUGACUGCUAAGGGUGUUGGGAUCAGAGUGGAAUGACUGGUGUGUGUUUGGACAAAAAGAACUCUCUAGUGUUGAGACCCAGAUAUUGACCAAUUCUUCUGUCUCAGGUAGAGUCAUUUCCAAGAAAUCUCAAUAGAAGACUUUGUGUCUGAGUGUGGGACGUGCGGGAAGGCUCACCCAGACUGCAAUAAGAGAAAGAGGCUGCACACAGGGUUUUUUUUUACCUUCUGCCAUCUGAGCAUGUGUAGGGGGAUCUAAACAGGGUUUCAUGACAGCUGCUGUUGAUCCUGCCCCACUUUCAAAAUUCAGCUCGAAUUUCAUCCCCUUUCGUGAAGCUGCUACAGUACAUUAACUCGAAUUGACCUCUCCCUUCUCUGUAUUCUGGAGUACCACUCGUUCUGGCAUUUGAUCGUGUACUGCAUUAUAUUAUUUGCAUCCUUUGCGUUUAAUGUCUUGCCCACAAGAUGGGGAGAUCCCUUGCAGUCAGCACACAAGCAUCAGCCUGUCUCCUGUGUGCCUAGAUCUAUACCAGUCCCCAAGCCAUGGGGCAAAAGAAAUGGAGAAAGCCAGUUGGGGGACACAGGAACACAGACAAAAUACUGGAGGUGAAGAGGCCAUCGUGUGACUGCAAGAAGCAACCCUAAAGAUGGAGGAGAGUGAAGAGGCGGGUGAAAGUUGUAUCACUGGGGAUCGUGGAGAGGAACCGAAGCGGCCACCACGAGAUGAACUUCAAAAAGCUGCCAGCUUUUUCUUAGGAAUGCGUGUGAAUUUUUCC